rnacentral:rRNA from 1 species
GACGAACGCUGGCGGCGUGCUUAACACAUGCAAGUCGAACGAGAUCCAAUGUGUAGCAAUACACAGGACGAUCUAGUGGCGAACGGGUGAGGAACACGUGAGAAACGUACCCCAGACUUUGGGAUAACAGUCCGAAGGGACUGCUAAUACCAAAUAACGUCGGAAGUCCGCAUGGACAUCUGACGAAAGGGAUUCCGGUUUGGGAGCGUCUCGCGGACCUAUCAGCUAGUUGGAGGGGUAACGGCCCACCAAGGCAACGACGGGUAGCUGGUCUGAGAGGAUGGUCAGCCACACUGGGACUGAGACACGGCCCAGACUCCUACGGGAGGAAGCAGUGGGGAAUCUUGCGCAAUGGGCGAAAGCCUGACGCAGCAACGCCGCGUGCGGGAAGAAGGCUUUCGGGCUGUAAACCGCUUUCAGUAGGAACGAAACUGACGGUACCUACAGAAGAAGGAGCGGCCAACUAUGUG